AUUUAUAUAAUUUAAAUUUAAAAUAUUACACUUUCAAUGUAAAAAUAAUUUUAUUAAUUAUUUAUAAAUU
rnacentral:tRNA from 1 species